rnacentral:lncRNA from 1 species
GGCCAGAUAGGACCCCAGCCUAAACUAGUCAUAAGUUACUGGAGCGCCUAGUACAAGAGAGACGAGUGGGCUUUCGACGGCAUAAUUACAAAGUAUCUUUUAGAACCUGACAGAACCUGACUUUAUGAUCAUGUCCUCAGCUAGAGGCAGAACCUUCGCCACUGCCUGCCUCGGGGCCGCCUCUGGAAAGCCAGGGGAGUGCAUGGGGUUGUCCUGGGAGUGGGAGGUCCGGCCAAUGUUCCAUGGGCAGCCGCCAGGGCUGCGCCACCUUCUGCAGAGGCUGGGCCUGGCCACGGGAAGUCCCAUCCCCGCGACUGAGAACCCCCGUGUGAGUCUGCACCUCUGAGCUCUGUGGGAGGCACUGAGGGGAACCCUGCCCACCCUGAGAGCAGCCUGCACCCACCUGGCACCCGGAAGAGACACAGCGACCUCUGUCGCGCCUGAAAAGUGCAGCACCAGGGAGGAUCCAGGGGACACAGUGACACCUCAGACAUCACCCUGGUCCUGCAGCUGCUGACACCUCCACACUUGGGCAAGUCCUGACCAUUCCCAAGUGGCCAGCUCAGAGGGAGCCACUUACAGGGCCUCGAGGCCAUGUCACCCCUCCCGAACGCUGAUCCAGACUGUCUGAUCAUGUUUCCAAGUGAAACCUCCUCAGUUCUUAACUUUCCCAUGUCAGUAUCUGCUCAAGCCAGAGCCAUCCUGGCACAGGAAAACAACGCAUCUGCAGUCCGAGGCCCACAACCUUGUUUUGUACUCAUCUAUUUCAUCAAAUGAAGUCUGGGCUUAAUGGUGCCGAGUCCCUCUGGAUAACCACAGGAGAGAUAAACAGGAAUCAAGGGAGGAAAUGAGGUGAUAACUCGUGUCACCAGCAGCUUCUGGACCCAAGGCCAAAGUCAAGACUUGGUAACCUAGACCUCGCCCCAUGAUUAUGUCACCAAGUUAUAUAAAUGUAGGUUGAUGUUCACGGUUCAGAUGGCCAUGCAGAAGGUUUCUAGGUAUUGUCAGAACUGUACAGGACAGUUUUAAGGAGAAAUAGAGACUUCUUGUUUGAAGGAUGCCUAACUCAAAGAAACUCGAUGUAAGAAACAUCCAAAGUUAUAUAAUAAAUAUGUUCCCAUUGUGUAAGUGCUGUCAGGGUAGCAUUUUCUGGGGAGACACUGGGAAGAAAGAAGAUGGACGAGAAUCUUGGAUUUAGAGGGUAUUAAGGGCUGGAAGAGGACUCAUGAACCCCUUCAAAUUCCUUAAUAUUUAGAUGAGGAAACUGAGGGUCUGAGAGGUCAGGAUUUACCAAGAACCAGAGCCUGACUGGCUUCAAAAUGCAAACCCUUUCGAGCGCCCGCAUUUACUCCGAUUCAGAGUUCAGAGCAGCAGGAGGGUUGUGGAAGCACACCAGCCUGGGGAGGAAUGCUGGGAACCACACACUCGGUGGUCACACUCACAACUUGUUUCUCCGAAACCGACGGAUCCUAAAAGUUAAUGAGAAAUGCCUAACAUGGGGCUGGACACUCCGUGGACACCUGGCAUCUGCUCCCAGACGCCUCUUAUGAACAUUUCAUAUACACGAAGUCGUAUAAUAUGGAGUCUCCUGGUAUUUUGUGACUGGCAUUUUGGGUAAUGUUUUCAAGGUUCAUCAGUGUUGGGGCAUGUAUCAAACAUUCCUUUUCCUGGCUGAAUACUAUUCCAUUGUGUGGCUAUGCUGCAUUUGGCUUACCUGUUCAUCAAUUUUUGGGUUGUUUCCAUUUUGGACCAUUGUUAAUAAUGUUACUGGCCCCUGUCUUUUAAUACUAAGUAAAUACUACUUACUUUAGCUCCUGCCCGCUCAUCCUCCUAAUCUUGACAACUUGGCCCUAAGUUUUGCAAUGUAGCAACC